AUUGAACGCUGGCGGCAUGCCUUACACAUGCAAGUCGAACGGCAGCACGGGAGCAAUCCUGGUGGCGAGUGGCGAACGGGUGAGUAAUAUAUCGGAACGUGCCCGGUCGUGGGGAUAACGUAGCGAAAGCUACGCUAAUACCGCAUACGAUCUACGGAUGAAAGCGGGGGAUCGCAAGACCUCGCGCGAUUGGAGCGGCCGAUAUCAGAUUAGGUAGUUGGUGAGGUAAAGGCUCACCAAGCCGACGAUCUGUAGCUGGUCUGAGAGGACGACCAGCCACACUGGGACUGAGACACGGCCCAGACUCCUACGGGAGGCAGCAGUGGGGAAUUUUGGACAAUGGGCGCAAGCCUGAUCCAGCAAUGCCGCGUGCAGGAUGAAGGCCUUCGGUUGUAAC
rnacentral:rRNA from 1 species